GGUCACCGCAAGGGAAGCUGGCGACCGAAGCCCCGAUAAACGGCGGCCGUAACUAUGACGGUCCUAAGGUAGCGAAAUUCCUUGUCGGGUAAGUUCCGACCCGCACGAAAGGCGUAACGAUUUGGACACUGUCUCGGAGAGGGACUCGGCGAAAUAGACUUGUCUGUGAAGAUGCGGACUACCUGCACCUGGACAGAAAGACCCUAUGAAGCUUUACUGUAACUUGAGAUUGGUUUCGGGUUUUAUUUGCGCAGAAUAGGUGGGAGGCUAUGAAAAAAUACUUGUGGGUGUUUUGGAGCCAUCAGUGAGAUACCACUCUUGUAAAACUAGAAAUCUAACUUUACACCAUUAUCUGGUUAAAAGACAGUCUCAGGCGGGCAGUUUGACUGGGGCGGUCGCCUCCUAAAGGGUAACGGAGGCGCCCAAAGGUUCCCUCAGCCUGGUUGGUAAUCAGGUGGUGAGUGUAAGUGCACAAGGGGGCUUGACUGUGAGACUGACAGGUCGAGCAGGGACGAAAGUCGGG
rnacentral:rRNA from 1 species